UGACAUUGAACAAUGCUUUUUGACUUGC
rnacentral:sRNA from 1 species